UGGGGAAUUUUGGACAAUGGGCGAAAGCCUGAUCCAGCAAUGCCGCGUGCAGGACGAAGGCCUUCGGGUUGUAAACUGCUUUUGUACGGAACGAAACGGUCUCUUCUAAUACAAGGGGCUAAUGACGGUACCGUAAGAAUAAGCACCGGCUAACUACGUGCCAGCAGCCGCGGUAAUACGUAGGGUGCGAGCGUUAAUCGGAAUUACUGGGCGUAAAGCGUGCGCAGGCGGUUAUAUAAGACAGAUGUGAAAUCCCCGGGCUCAACCUGGGACCUGCAUUUGUGACUGUAUAGCUAGAGUACGGUAGAGGGGGAUGGAAUUCCGCGUGUAGCAGUGAAAUGCGUAGAUAUGCGGAGGAACACCGAUGGCGAAGGCAAUCCCCUGGACCUGUACUGACGCUCAUGCACGAAAGCGUGGGGAGCAAACAGGAUUAGAUACCCCCGUAGUCCCUGAGCGGGCUGGCAAGGCGCAU
rnacentral:rRNA from 1 species